rnacentral:lncRNA from 1 species
CCCAGCGAGAGCGCGGCCGCGAAAAGGAUCCGGCCAGUGUGGUCUCUUGCUACACCACCCCGGGCGGCGUCCUCGAAGGGAUUUCUCAAGACCGCAUCAACAUUGAGCAAGGAGCACCCAGCGGCCGGCGGCGUCCCGUCCACCGCCUGCCGUCCGCAUCCUGCCUCAGGGACCUGGAUGAGGUAGGUGCCCUCGUGCUUCCAUUCAGCAAUGCAACUCUGAUCCUGCUCCCUUUUGGGGCCCAAGCCUGACAACUGCUUUGAACAAACAGGUCGUGUACACUUCCACUCCAAUUGAACAUCUGUAAUUGCUCGACAAUGCGCUUUGUUUGCCUUAAUCUUGUUAAUACGAACCACUCUCUGCUUUUAUUCUUAUACUCCUAUUACUUAGCAACCUGGGUACGCUGCAACUAAAUCGACAAGAAAAUACGGAGUAUGUCUUGAUCCUUUUAAUUCGUAGAAAAUGUAAACAUUACUGCACAUGGUUAGCAUGUAUUAUCUGACAAGCACUAGGUUCCUCCUAAAAGUAUCACCUAGAAGUGGUCAAGAACGAGGAGGGCUUGUCUUUGCCUAGACAUGCGUUACCAUUUUCUAUUGAUCCUGCUGAGCAUAGGUAUACCAAACUUGCAACUACUUCUGUAUCAUUUACAGGACAACUAACUACUUAGUUCAGUCCAUUGACAAUGGAUGCAAAACUGACACCUCAUCCUUAUCUCCUCUGGAAGUUGAACUUCAUGAUAGCAAAACUGAAGAGGAAAGCGAAACCAACAGUGAAAGCUACAUGCACCACUGCAACAAGCCACAGCAGGUCACGCUCGAAUCCGUAGAACUGUGUGAUAAACUGCGCCACGGUUUGUUCUUUGCCGUCGAGUUUGGUCUGUAUAUCUCCAAAUUGGGAGGCAACCAAUCCGUAUAGCGUCCACGCAACCGGGCAAAUCCAACUGUACCAUCUCCACCAAACAGGGAUUUUCUGAAGAAAAGGAGGUUAAAUUUUAUGACCCAUAUAUAAGAAUGAAUGAUAUAACAGUAUAUAUGAUGUUACGUUGUAAAACUUAAAGCAACAUGCCAACCAAAUUAAACUUACAGGUCGAGGAAUAAGAUAUCCGGAGAAGAGGUUCCAUGCAUUGUAGAUUGCAGAUGAGAUAAUGGCUGCUACACUCUCGUUUGGUGUCAGCCCUACUGCCAUCAUACCGUAGAAGGUGAAAUAUAGCAGUGUAAAGUACAUGAAGAACAUGUACCAAAAGAACUUGGCAACAGUCCACUCAAAUCCAAUCAUGGAAUAGACCAGUACGCCAUAUACUAGAGUCUGCACCAGGAUGUAUGGGAAUUCAAUUGCAACCUAGGAAAACAAAAAAAGGAUAAAUUAGCAUUAUUUUUUAGAUUUGGCGAUGUAUAUAACAAAUAUGUGUGUGUGUGUGUGUACCUGUCCAAAUGCAUAGGGGAAAGCUGAAUACAUGCCGGCUGCUCUUUCUCGGUAAAAGACUGUUCGCUCCACUACCACUACUGGUUGGACCGAACCAGAGUUUUGGAUUCCAAGGUAAAGAACUGCAGCAUACAUUGAUCCAACUGCAUUGAAUAGAUCUUGUUCUCUUCUACUGUACAAAAAGUCCCAAGAUAUGAAUAAAGCAUUAGAAUCACAAAAUUAUCUGCAGUUGUUUACUACUCGCACUGAUCCAUUACAAGUGUCUCAGAUUUUGUAAACAUUAGUACAGAGUUUUACUAAAUCUGAGACAUUUACUAUGGAUCGGAGGAAGUAUAAAAUAGAUAGAGAGAAGCUAAGGAAGGAGAAUAUGACGUACGUCUUCGUUCCGAGGUCCCAAAACAUUGUCCCAAACAGUAGUGCAAUGAUGACGGUGAAGAGCAAUCUCACUGCGGUGUAGGAUGGGUUCCUCCAAUAUGAUAACUUCUGCUUCCAUAAGCAAGCUAGGCACUGUGUAAAGAAUGAUCUGGAGUACUGUGUAGGGAAGUUGAGAUCAUUAGAAUUAGGAGGUGGCGUGCUUAGUUCCUCUAUAAGCUCCUUGUUCCUUCUGAAAUUGCAAAAUAAAAUGCAAACCAAUUAGACUGCAACUCUCCUAAAAUAUAUAGAUCUCACCAGUUGUACUAUAUAUGUAGAGUGCAUGGUGAGCAUGCAGGAUGACUUACUGAUAUAAAUCUGAUCUCCUGUAGAUUUCACAGAAAUCAACGCCAAGCAUCUCCUCCUGGGCACCAGAGGUCACUUCCAACAUCCAUGUUGCUGGGUUAUAUCCAUCUUUUAUCUUACUAACGCCAUCAAUUCCCUGACAAAAGGAUUUCCUUCCAAUGUGACUUAGCUGCUAACAAGUGUAAAACUCUCAGUAAAUAACAGUUUACUAGGACUCUUCUUACCUCGAAGUACUCAAUCAAUGCUGAGGAAUUAUGGCCUAGUGGACCGACAUAUAUCUCUUCUCCUCCUCUCUUCAUUAGGAAAAGCUGCAAUUCAUAUAUAGAUAACAGUCAACACAUGACUCUCCAUCUAUUAAGUUAACAAAUAUGUGCCCAAAUAGCAGAGAAGAAUCAAGAUAUCAACCUCAUCAAAUGCUUCAAAUAUGUCAAUACUUGGCUGGUGAAUGGUGCAAACAACGGUCCUGCCGGUGUUAACAGUAUUCCUCACUGUCCUCAUCACAAUUGCAGCUGCCCGGGCAUCAAGACCAGAUGUUGGCUCAUCCAUGAAAAUGAUGGAUGGGUUAGCAACAAGUUCCACAGCAAUUGUCAGCCUCUUGCGUUGCUCGGUUGAUAGGCCA